ACCCACUGGCGCUAUGGCGGCCUUCCCGCGGAUCGCGGCGCACUGCAGGUAUGAGUCCAUCGCCUGCGGGACUUCGCCUUGCAGACGGCCCCUACCUCGCCCCAGGAUCCCUGUCAGGCGCCACAUGUCGUGGCCAGCACCAUAGAGCCUGCAGCCGAGGGAUCGAGGCCCAAAGGACGGGACAGGGACCAGAGUGGCCGCUGCGCUGUCCCCAGCGGCCGAGUCCCCAGCCAGCCAAUCAGCAAGGAGCCCUGCCGGAAGGAUGACGCUCUAGGAAGGAAGUGGCCAUCGGAUAGGGCGGGCUUGGCGCUGGCGAGAAAGAGGGGGAAAGCGACACCAAGAAUCCAUUCCAAACGAAAAACCAAGAGGAGACGCGGCAGCUCCUAGAUGUUGAUGUUUUGUUUUUUUGACAUAAAUCUUCGCACUCAUA
rnacentral:lncRNA from 1 species